AUACGUAGGGGGCGAGCGUUGUCCGGAUUUAUUGGGCGUAAAAGGCUUGUAGGUGGCCACGCCAAGUCGGAUGUGAAAUCUCCCGGCUCAACUGGGAGGGGUCAUUCGAUACUGGCGGGCUCGAGGCCGGUAGGGGGAAGUGGAAUUCCCGGUGUAGUGGUGGAAUGCGUAGAUAUCGGGAGGAACACCAGUGGCGAAGGCGGCUUCCUGGACCGGUUCUGACACUGAGGAGCGAAAGCGUGGGGAGCGAUCC
rnacentral:rRNA from 1 species